UACGUAGGGAGCAAGCGUUGUCCGGAAUCAUUGGGCGUAAAGCGCGCGUAGGUGGCCUCAUAAGUCCGUUGUGAAAGUCAAAGGCUCAACCUUUGAAAGCCGAUGGAUACUGUGAGACUAGAGUACGGAAGAGGCGAGUGGAAUUCCUGGUGUAGCGGUGGAAUGCGCAGAUAUCAGGAGGAACACCAAUAGCGAAGGCAGCUCGCUGGGACGUUACUGACACUGAGGAGCGAAAGCGUGGGGAGCAAACAGG
rnacentral:rRNA from 1 species